ACAGGUUAGUUGGUGUCUGUUUGGAGAGGAGAGAUACAGGUUAGUUGGUGUCUGUGUGGAGAGGAGAGAUACAGGUUAGUUGGUGUCUGUGUAGAGAGGAGAGAUACAGGUUAGUUGGUGUCUGUUUGGAGAGGAGAGAUACAGGUUAGUUGGUGUCUGUGUAGAGAGGAGAGAUACAGGUUAGUUGGUGUCUGUGUAGAGAGGAGAGAUACAGGUUAGUUGGUGUCUGUGUAGAGAGGAGAGAUACAGGUUAGUUGGUGUCUGUUUGGAGAGGAGAGAUACAGGUUAGUUGGUGUCUGUGUGGAGAGGAGAGAUACAGGUUAGCUGGUGCCUGUUUGG